GAAUGACAAGACAUAAGUCAAUGUGUAGUUGUAAAGCAAGACAACAUCGCAGGCAGCGAUGAGAGAAGUUGCACACAACCAUGACAUAGCGACACAAACAUGAGGUGAUUCAAAAAUCAGUUGUAUUAGGAUCACACACUCCGCCUGCAAGUGCCAGGCGUAAAAGUGCCUCUGCUGGAAACGACACCGCUACGCGAUGUCAUUGAGCUAAUUCACAGCAAAUACAUUUUGGUACAGAAUGGACACCUCCAGCUGCAGAAUGGGCACUCCAUUUCAGUGCGAGGACUGGGAACAGGGAGAUAUGGCAAUCCUUCACUUUCAUGCACGCAGGAUCACUUCAACACACCCAAGGCACUAGAUUCCACAGGACGCUGAGAUCAGUGCUAGUCUCAUGUCCUGGACACUUUGCAUCUCUAUUCCUUCGCUUGCCUUCGCCACGCCUCUCUGCCCACCGCGCCGCGGCGGUUCCUCUACUGGGACGCUGGAGCUUGGCCUCCGGCGUAGAAAGUUCCUUGCUUGAUGGCAUCGGCGUUGGCAUCUCCCAGUGCGGCGGAAGACAGAUAUUGUUCGGCGAGCUGUACACGCUUUACGUUCUGUUGCUCCUGCACCAACAUUUCUCCGUACUCCAUCAGCUUCUCGAUGGUCAUGGCGGGCUUCUCGAAGGUUGGGGGUCCGUUCUUGGAGUUCACCAAGUUCUUUCCGAUGUUCUCCACUCCCGUACCUGCGAUCCACUUCCUCACCUCGUCGUCGUACACACGCGCCCUCAGGGCACCGAAGAAAUCUGAGUUACGAGAUAGUUCAGGUUAGAAUUCAGUCGAAGCCACAGUUUCAAUAAAUUAAUAUUAAACCAGCAUCAUCCAGCUGAACGCGAGAAUCAGUAGGGCCUUUUAUUACAUACCGAUGGACUGUCCAGGGAAUUGGUC
rnacentral:lncRNA from 1 species